UUAGUCUUCAUUAUUAUUUCAACCUUUACUCACUCCACACCCCGGACAGUAUAAGCUUGAAAAAGACAAAUUGGUAUCCAGUGACCAUACCACCCAUUCCUCCUCUUCUAUGCUUGUAGCCUCCACAGGAGGCAUGUUCAUCCCUCCGGGCCCCAUCCAUCUCCGUUGUCCAAUACCCCUUUUCACAAGAUACUCCAAAACAUCUACUAACUCAAGCCGGUCCAAAAUUAAAUCCAACUUCCCUCGCAACCGACGCUAUAAAACAAGAAACGUUAUGGAAUCAGUUGUGCAAAUCGUCGGAUGCCUAUCAGAGUACUCACCUGGCUAAUACCAGGCCUCAUCAUCAAAUGACUCGCGACGCGAUUAACCGCACGAAUCCACUCUGUAUGCAACACUUGAC
rnacentral:sRNA from 1 species